AUUGAACGCUGGCGGCAGGCCUAACACAUGCAAGUCGAACGAGUGGCGGACGGGUGAGUAAUGUCUGGGAAACUGCCCGAUGGAGGGGGAUAACUACUGGAAACGGUAGCUAAUACCGCAUACCAUCGGAUGUGCCCAGAUGGGAUUAGCGAGUAGGUGGGGUAAAGGCUCACCUAGGCGACGAUCCCUAGCUGGUCUGAGAGGAUGACCAGCCAACCGGGAACGGAGACACGGUCCAGACUCCUACGGGAGGCAGCAGUGGGGAAUAUUUCACAAUGGGCGCAAGCCUGGUGCAGCCAUGCCGAGUGUAUGAAGAAGGCCUUCGGGUUGUAAAGUACUUUCAGCGGGGAGGAGUUACCCGCAGAAGAAGCACCGGCUAACUCCGUGCCAGCAGCCGCGGUAAUUC
rnacentral:rRNA from 1 species